GCUCUUGACUGUCUCCCACAGUAUUCUUGCCAGCAAGUUAAAAAAGUAUGGAUUGGAUGAAUGGACUAUACGGUGGAGAGAAAGCUGGCUAGAUCAUUGGACUCAA